ensembl:misc_RNA
AUGAGAGGCAGAGAGACUGCAGACCUCUUUUUACCCUCUGACCACACCCAGCACAGGCAGUGGCUGUGCACAAUUCCCCACACCACCCAGCCAGUGUGGCUAAACCUUCCCCUGGAAAGACCACCUUUUAUGGGAGAGAGGAUAGUUCACUCUUCAUCUCCGUUCAGCUCUUGGAGGGU